CGCGGCCUAUCAGCUUGUUGGUGGGGUUAAGGCCUACCAAGGCGACGACGGGUAGCCGGCCUGAGAGGGUGACCGGCCACACUGGGACUGAGAUACGGCCCAGACUCCUACGGGAGGCAGCAGUGGGGAAUAUUGCACAAUGGGCGCAAGCCUGAUGCAGCGACGCCGCGUGAGGGACGACGGCCUUCGGGUUGUAAACCUCUUUCAGCACAGACGAAGCGCAAGUGACGGUAUGUGCAGAAGAAGGACCGGCCAACUACGUGCCAGCAGCCGCGGUAAUACGUAGGGUCCGAGCGUUGUCCGGAAUUACUGGGCGUAAAGAGCUCGUAGGUGGUUUGUCGCGUUGUUCGUGAAAACUCACAGCUCAACUGUGGGCGUGCGGGCGAUACGGGCAGACUAGAGUACUGCAGGGGAGACUGGAAUUCCUGGUGUAGCGGUGGAAUGCGCAGAUAUCAGGAGGAACACCGGUGGCGAAGGCGGGUCUCUGGGCAGUAACUGACGCUGAGGAGCGAAAGCGUGGGGAGCGAACAGGAUUAGAUACCCUGGUAGUCCACGCCGUAAACGGUGGGUACUAGGUGUGGGUUUCCUUCCUUGGGAUCCGUGCCGUAGCUAACGCAUUAAGUACCCCGCCUGGGGAGUACGG
rnacentral:rRNA from 1 species